rnacentral:lncRNA from 1 species
GUUUGGGCUUCGGAUUUUGCCUUUUGAUAAGGGACAUUCUGUUUUGAAUUUCCUCGGAUUUCAGCAGUUUUGUGAUUUUUUUUUUUUGGUUCUUGCUAAAACUUUAGUUUUGUUGGUAACCUUAAUUGUAUCUUCUAAAUCCAUUUUUUUUUAUUUGAAUAUGGAGUGUUAUUUUCUCUUAAUUUUCGUUUUUGAUUUGUAACUAGAAAUAAG